rnacentral:tRNA from 1 species
CAGAGUGUAGCUAAAAGAUUAAAGCAUCUCCCUUACACCGAGAAGAUACCCGUGCAAAUCGGGUCAUUCUGA